UAUAUUUGGGUAUACACCGUGGCAUCACAAGGGCCACCCAGAACUGGCUCAACUCCCAUCACCCAGCUCGGUUUCAAUGUGCUCCCCAACAAGAAGGCGACGACGCAUUCGUAUGUCAAUCCAUAUCAACUUUCAAUGCCAUUGACUGCGCCUACCAUGGUGACCACGGGUAACUGGGAAUCAGGGUUCCAUUCCGUACAGGGACCCUGAAAAAUGGCUACCACAUGCAAGGAAGGCAGCAGGCACGAAAAUGACCCACUCCCGACGCGGGAAGGUAGUGA